rnacentral:ncRNA from 1 species
AACCGUGAUUCCGGGAGUAGUGGUGAGCGAAACCGGAGGAGGCUAAACCGUAUGUGUGUGAGACCCGGCAGGGGUUGCGCAUGCGGGGUUGUGGGAGCUCACUUCAGUCGUCUGCCGGCGGCUGGGCGAGUCAGAAAUUGUGGGUGUAGGCGAAGGGCAUGCGAAAGGCCUGGCGUAGAGGGUAAGACCCCCGUAGCUGAAACAUCUGCAACUCGCUUGUGGGUUUCCCAAGUAGCAUGGGGCCCGAGAAAUCCUGUGUGAAUCUGGCGGGACCACCCGUCAAGCCUAAAUAUUCCCUGGUGACCGAUAGCGGAUAGUAC